UCCGGUUCUUCACCAGCAGUCUCCUUAGAGUCCCCACCAUCACGUGUUGGCAACUAAGGAUAAGGGUUGCGCUCGUUACGGGACUUAACCCAACAUCUCACAACACGAGCUGACGACAGCCAUGCAGCACCUGUCUCGCGGUUCCUUUCGGCACUAAUGCAUCUCUGCACCAUUCCGCGGAUCUCAAGGGUAGGUAAGGUUCUUCGCGUUGCAUCGAAUUAAACCACAUGCUCCACCGCUUGUGCGGGCCCCCGUCAAUUCCUUUGAGUUUUAACCUUGCGGCCGUACUCCCCAGGCGGAGGACUUAUCGCGUUUGCUUCGAUACUCACCCGCUCGCGCGGGCCAACAUCUAGUCCUCAUCGUUUACAGCGUGGACUAC
rnacentral:misc_RNA from 1 species